AGUUCUAUGAUUUCAUUCUUCUGAUCCACAUUCUCUUGAUCCACAUUCUUCUGAUCCACAUUCUCAACCAAAGACAUUGUUGAUUCAUAUGGGUUCAAGAGCCAAUUUCACAUCCAUUGCUGAUUUUGAUUUUAAAGAUAAAUCAUUAUGACUUCAACUUCCGAAUCACAAAAAUGUUACACCAUAUUUGUUGAAGGCAACAUAGGGUGUGGGAAAUCAACACUUCU